rnacentral:snRNA from 1 species
GGCUUGGCAAGGCUGCACUCCAUUGAUCGCCAGGGUUGAUUCUGCUGAUCGGGCUAGGUGGGUGCUCCCUUCCUCCCUCACCGCUCCAUGUGCAUCCCUUCUGAAGCUGAGCCCUCUGUCGAAGAGGACGUCCUUCCGCGAGUAGAGAACUGGUCUUGGGUCAAGGCUAUACGUGUAGCUGCGCUCCAAUGCUAGAACCUGCAAACAAGCUCAAGGUCCAUUUGUACACUCGUACAAGUAAAGGCAGGGACUUCUUGAGAUUGGUGAGUGAAAAAAUACCGCAGUCA